rnacentral:rRNA from 1 species
CAAUAGCGUAUAUUAAAGUUGUUGCAGUUAAAAAGCUCGUAGUUGGAUUUGUGGUGUAUGGUGUGUUCCGGGCACUUGUUGUCUGAGUAACUUGCCAUUGCCAUCCUUGGGUGGAACCUGUGUGGCAUUAGGUUGUCGUGCAGGGGAUGCCCAUCGUUUACUGUGAAAAAAUUAGAGUGUUCAAAGCAGGCUUAUGCCGUUGAAUAUAUUAGCAUGGAAUAAUAAGAUAGGACUUUUUUGCUAUUUUGUUGGUUUGCGCGAGAAGGUAAUGAUUAAUAGGGAUAGUUGGGGGUAUUCGUAUUCCAUUGUCAGAGGUGAAAUUCUUGGAUUUUUGGAAGACGAACUACUGCGAAAGCAUUUACCAAGGAUGUUUUCAUUA